rnacentral:miRNA from 1 species
AAAAAUAUUGAUUCCAGAACCUUCUCUCAAACCCAAAGAACCAGAAAAUCUGCAAUGAAGUCCAAGAAUCUGCAUUUUAAACAAGUUAGCCAGGUGGUUCCCAGGUUUGGGAAC